AGGUUCCACACAGCUAGAAAUGGUUAAAGGCUCUCCAAUGGCCUCUCAAUUGAUUAGUUUCCUUCAGCCUAAUUUGCAGCCAUCUUAGCCAAGCCUUCAUAUUUCUUCCCUUUUCAACCUGGUCCCUCAUUUUCCAACUGGAGAAGUCUCUUCUCAAUCGCCUAGGCAACGGAGACAAGAGCUAGGACGCUGUCGCACGGCCUAGCUUCUGUCAGAGAAGUGGAAGAGCUUUCUUGUAUGCCUUACUAUGAAGAAAUGGCGAAUGGGAGAAAGUAGGUGAUAACUGCACAACUACGUAGUGACAGAUUUGGGACUGAAGCCAAGUUUCCUGCUUCAUUAUUCCAGUGUGCUUUCUUCUGCAUUGAGACCAACCACAGAACCUAGAAGAGUAGAACGGAAAUUUCUCCUCCCCUGCAGUAUUGUUGGGCCUGUUGACCUCACUGUCACAACCUCAUCGAGUAUGACAUUCAAAAGAGCGAAGUUAACAUCUGCUAAAGAGUGGAGAUUCCAGAGAAAAAGUAAGAGAGGUUGAGUCUGCGCCAGCGACAUGAAGGAAAUAAGCUGCCUGGGAACCAAGAACAGAGGAUGGAAGGGUGGCUGCAACAUGAGCUACUCUUGUUGAAGACUAUACCCAAACUCUUCACAGAACCUCAGGACUUAGAGGAACACAACACAAAAAAAUCACCAACACAAGAUACAUCAGAAAGGAUUUCGCAAGACAAAACACAACUGACUACAAUAACUAGAACAGAUGAAGUGCUCUGAGAUUAGAGAAAUGAAAGCCCACAGGAUGCUGGAGUCCUCUGCGAAGUCUACAAUGGACACACGGGAGUCCUACCAGUCCAGAACCACUUUAAAUGAAGUUCAAGAGUUGAGUUUUCUUGGACCAACAGAUGAUGGAAUGUUGGGCUGCGUUUUCAUGAGAGGACUUCUUUACUUCCAGCUUACUUUAUGGCUCGCUGAUUCUCAAAUGUUGGUGGGUACCAGAACACCUGGAGAACUCAGACAGCACACAGAGAGCAGGCUCGUUGAAAGGGUUAUACCAAGUUCCCAGAGUUUUAUUCCAUUGUAUGGAUAUACCACCAUUUGUUUAUCUAUUCACCUCUGUAUGGACAUUUGGAGAAUUUCCAGUUUUUGGCUAUUACAAAUAAAGUUGCCGUGAACAUUCACAUGCAAGUCUUUGUAUGGAAACCUACUUUCUUUUCUCUGGAGUAAAUACCUAGAAUUGGGACAACUGGAUCAUAUGACUGCCCUGAGCUAACAUCCACGCCCAUCUCCCUCUGCUUUGUAUGUGGGCCACCUACCACAGCAUGGCGUGCCAAGCAGGGCCGUGUCCGCACCUAGGAUCCAAACCAGCGAAUCCCAGGCCACUGAAGCGGAACAUGUGAACUUAACCACUGUGCCACUGGCCGGUCCCAAAAAUAUCUUAAUAGAAGGUGACCUGACAAGCUGCCAGCUUUCAGUGGUGCCAGGAGCAAAAGAAGAUUCUCCAUUAGCCAGACUCCAAUACACAUGGCUCCACAACUAGGUCCUUAUGACUCAGCAGAUACAAUGGCACCCAAGGUCUCUGCUAAUCAGGAUGCUAUAUGGACUGUAGCAAGCCCCACAAGACAGUCAAUGUUCCUUGCAAUUCUUAAGCAAAGCCAACCUCUUUAUGAGCUUCUAAUUCCAUGGUAGACAAUUUACUCAAUACACCAGUGGAACGCCAAUGAGCAGAUUAUCAGGAUAACAUGAAACCCAGCAGUUCUAGAACAAUAUGUUCUACUGAAGUGCUGAAAGCUACUCAUCCUAUGGUACAGACGGAAAACCAUAAAGAACCACAAACGUGAGUUGGUGAAAUGACGAAGAUUCGCGCUAUGUGAAGACACUGAUUUUUAUACUGGGGCAACAUCUGGAGCAGCUAGUGGUGAUCAGGUUGCUCUUAGUCAACCGUGUGACACUCCAAAGAGAUUCAUGCAUAGGACAGCUGAGCAAAAGUAAGGGGUAGUGGUUGAAAUUUUUUAUUCAAAUAUUUGCGUAUUAAAUUAAUGAAAUAUUUUGAAAUAACAAGAAUUUUUCAGUUCAUGAGACUGACUAAAUGGGAAGGCAUUAUUUUAGAAACAUUUUAAAAUACAGCCCCAUUAAGUCAUUCUUUCUUUUUAAAGAUUGGUACCUGAGCCAACAUCUGUUGCCAAUCUUCUCUUUUUUUUU
ensembl:lncRNA